rnacentral:lncRNA from 1 species
AUGAGACACUGUUUGUUUUUAAAGGUAAAGGCCGGGAAUUUGGCUCAGUGGUUCGGCCAUCUGUCUCAAAAGUGCAAAGCUGCCUUCAACCUCACAUAAAUCAGCAAAUGUCUUUGGAGAAAACAAACAUAAAAACCUCUUAAAGGACGUCAAGGAGAGCAUUGAGAAAGAGCUAAGGCAAAGACAGGACCAAGUGCAAAAGCGGCCCACUCUCUCUGCUGCUGUAGGUCCACUCCCCAUCAAGUUCAUGAAUCAUGUAAGCACAACUCAUUUGUCAAAAAACACAUUUAUAGGAAUCAGAAUUCCUUUAUGUGCAGGGGUUGCUGGAUUGCUUGCCAACUCUAACUAAAUAAUUCAUCAAGUCCUGAUUUGCUAGAAAUGUAAUACAAAAGGAAC